rnacentral:antisense_RNA from 1 species
GGGAAGUCCCGCCUGCGGCUCCCAGACCCCAGCCCUUUGCAGCCUCUCUGAGUGCCCCAUCGCCCCCUCUGAGCUCUCCCGUCGCCCUCCCGCCAACCCUACUCGGUUUUGCUGCCUUCUAUCCCUCCACCCCCAGCAACGCCCAGCUCCCAAGCCUCUUCGCCGGCCCGCCCUGCGACCCCCAGUUCCCCGCUUACGGACCUUGGGAUCUCCGCUGCCGCCGCCGUCGCUGCCACCGCCUGCUGUGCCCGACCCGCCGCUUGCCUCUCUCUGCCGUUCGCCCUGGGACGGGCGGACGGAGCUCGGCUCCGGCGGGCUCAGACCUCCCUGCUCGAUUCUCGGGCGCGGGGGUCUGUGCUCCGCCGCCCAGGAUCUGCCCGGGAGCCGCCCUGGAGCCCCAGGGCCGCGGCGAGCGGGGUCUUGGCCCGGCUAGGGAGAGGCCACUGCGUUGCGCUCUGCCAAAAUGACCAUGGAGUUGCCGAUUAGGUCUACAACAAUGGUGAUAACCAUCGCGCAGAACAUAAAGAUGAUUAGAGCCAUGCCAACACCUGGCAAAGAGAUGUAGAUUGCAGAGCCGGAGCACAGGGUCUUUCAUAGGAUCCAGUCUAGACUAAGCCAGUCCACAGCCCCCAGCAGGGUGUAGGGGAUAGCCGGUGGCCCCUUGAACGCUAGAUGCUUGCCUCCGCAAGUAUCCUUGUGAGGUCCAUCCCACGCCCCAUGCCCUUGCCUGUCUAGAGCCUUCUGUGUCCCGCGGGGAACAGGGGACUACUGCUGGGAGCUCCCACCCCCAAUCUGGGUCCCUAAUCCCUAGGGAACUUAUCCCCGCUCCCGUUCUCGCCAGGAGCCGCUUGGCUCCCUUAGCGGCAGCUGCGAGUAGCCGCUCAGUCCGGUCCAGGUCUUGCACUCUCCAUAAAGAGAUGUACCCUGCGCCCGACUCUGGAAGUGGGGAGCAGGUCUGCACCCUGGGACCUAGGGAAGGCAUUGGUGGCCACUCGGUCCUCAGUUUGGGGGCGAACGGGAGCGGGAGCUCGUCUCCUUUCCAGCUGCCGGCAGCCAGGCGGCGGGAGCCAAGGGACGCUUUGGGAAAAAGUAAAACAGGCAAUAAAGCUCUUCUCUUGGGUCCCCGCUUCUCGAGGAAACUCAGGACGAGAGGCUCUGACGCCUCUCCCUCUCGGGAUGCUCGGCAUUCUCUACUGAGCGGCACGGGGCAGUCAGGAAGGCUGAAGGAGCUGCGCCGCAGCCGCGGGAAAGGUGCGGAGGUGUCAGGCGGCUAAACCAAGAAGCCGCUGGCUGACCGGCGAUCCCUGCCUCAGUCAGGAUUCGUCUCGGUCUUUCUCCUUUCCCAUGCCCUUCUGGGGUUCUCGUUUCGACCCCAUCCCUCUCAGGGCUCCCCCCUAGCCCUCCACACCGCGGAUCUCUGUCCCCGUGCGUCACAGUUCCCCUGCGGUGCGCCCAGGAUCUCGCUCCGCGGGGACCACGGAAAAUUCGAAUAUUCGGGCAAAACUAAAGGGGCGUGAUUCGGACACUCGUUCCCUCAAUAACCUUGGUCACGGGAAUGGAUUUCUGCCGGCUACUAAAAGUUACGGCUCCUGUCGAGAAGCCUUUCAAAAUCUCAGU